ACGAACGCUGGCGGCAUGCCUAACACAUGCAAGUCGAACGAGACCUUCGGGUCUAGUGGCGCACGGGUGCGUAACGCGUGGGAACCUGCCCUUUGGUUCGGAAUAACUCCCCGAAAGGGGUGCUAAUACCGGAUAAUGUCUUCGGACCAAAGAUUUAUCGCCUUUGGAUGGGCCCGCGUUGGAUUAGCUAGUUGGUAGGGUAAAAGCCUACCAAGGCGACGAUCCAUAGCUGGUCUGAGAGGAUGAUCAGCCACACUGGGACUGAGACACGGCCCAGACUCCUACGGGAGGCAGCAGUGGGGAAUAUUGGACAAUGGGCGAAAGCCUGAUCCAGCAAUGCCGCGUGAGUGAUGAAGGCCUUAGGGUUGUAAAGCUCUUUUACCCGGGAUGAUAAUGACAGUACCGGGAGAAUAAGCUCCGGCUAACUCCGUG
rnacentral:rRNA from 1 species